rnacentral:lncRNA from 1 species
AUUCUUCAAAGUCACCCCUGUUCUGUUGUCUAACAGUUCUGACCCUUCUUCACUAAAAAUAAAUUAUCUCUUUAUACAGAAUUCAAAUGAUGUUCUUGUUUGUUUCUAUUAAAAAUAGACUCAUUCAUAAUUCUAGACAUAUAAAUUUAAGUCCCUAAUUAUUUUUAUUCAAUUUUUUAUAAUUUUUAAAAGUCAAAACAGGGGAACCCGAAUUCAUUCUGACCUUGUCUCACAAAAUUCAUUAUAUAUCAAAAUUUACAAAUCCAUUGCUUACAAUAU